GGUUUAAUUUAAACUAUUUGCUACACAUCAAAUCAAUAAUUUUGCGUUCUGUGUAAACCACGUGACCACUGACGUAAUCGAGGUUGGGUUUGAGAAUUUUACGAUCGACGGCCAUCUUGUUUUCCUCACAUCCAGACUGCGGCUGACAGCAGUUCCACAAUAUCGGACGGGGUACUGCUGAACAACAAUUAGGACAGGUUUUGAAUAAUCCAGUCACAUGAAAAACAUUAAUGCAGAAUUUUUUCGCAUCACGACCUUACCUCUACAAUCAAGAUUUAUGGCCUCUUUGGACUGACAGACAGCUCUCAGCUUCUCCAGGUUAUUAGGAGCAAAGGUGGAGCCCUCCGUGAGAAAACUAAGGACACUAUUAAAGUUAUGGAUCAGAGUUUGGACAUAGACAUCAGAAGAGAGUGCCUGCUGAAGUGCCUGAUCACAUACCUUGGUGAAGAUGCAAGACGUCUGAUCAAAGAAUACCAGGCUGACCAGAGGGAGGAAGCAGAGAGAGAAUUUGAAAAGACCACCAUGGCGUUUUUUUGUGAUCCGUGAAACUGAUGCUCUUAGUCGUGCACUGGACAUUUCCAUUGUCAUUGACGGUGUGGAAGUACUCAAUGAAUUGCCCUCUGUUGCAUGUGCCUGUGUAUUUGUAUCAGGAUGUUAUUAUGACAAAAUAAACUGUCAAAUGUUU